rnacentral:rRNA from 1 species
UCUCAGUUCGGAUUGGAGUCUGCAACUCGACUCCAUGAAGCUGGAUUCGCUAGUAAUCGCGCAUCAGCCAUGGCGCGGUGAAUACGUUCCCGGGCCUUGUACACACCGCCCGUCAAGCCAUGGAAGCCGGGGGUGCCUGAAGUGCGUGACCGCAAGGAGCGCCCUAAGGUAAAACCGGUGACUGGGGCUAAGUCGUAACAAGGUAGC